rnacentral:rRNA from 1 species
UACGAAGGGGGCUAGCGUUGCUCGGAAUUACUGGGCGUAAAGCGCACGUAGGCGGCUUCUUAAGUCGGUGGUGAAAUCCUGGAGCUCAACUCCAGAACUGCCUUCGAUACUGGGAAGCUCGAGUCCGGGAGAGGUGAGUGGAAUUCCUAGUGUAGAGGUGAAAUUCGUAGAUAUUAGGAAGAACACCAGUGGCGAAGGCGAGUCUCUGGACAUUUCCUGACGCUGAGGCACGAAAGCCAGGGGAGGCAAACGGG